rnacentral:rRNA from 1 species
AUUGAACGCUGGCGGCAGGCCUAACACAUGCAAGUCGAGCGGAUGAAGGGAGCUUGCUCCUGGAUUCAGCGGCGGACGGGUGAGUAAUGCCUAGGAAUCUGCCUGGUAGUGGGGGAUAACGUCCGGAAACGGGCGCUAAUACCGCAUACGUUCUGAGGUAGAAAGUGGGGGAUCUUCGGACCUCACGCUAUCUGAUGAGCCUAGGUCGGAUUAGCUAGUUGGUGGGGUAAAGGCCUACCAAGGCGACGAUCCGUAACUGGUCUGAGAGGAUGAUCAGUCACACUGGAACUGAGACACGGUCCAGACUCCUACGGGAGGCAGCAGUGGGGAAUAUUGGACAAUGGGCGAAAGCCUGAUCCAGCCAUGCCGCGUGUGUGAAGAAGGUCUUCGGAUUGUAAAGCACUUUAAGUUGGGAGGAAGGGCAGUAAGUUAAUACCUUGCUGUUUUGACGUUACCAACAGAAUAAGCACCGGCUAACUUCGUG